rnacentral:rRNA from 1 species
UACGGAGGGGUGCAAGCGUUAUCCGGAUUUACUGGGUUUAAAGGGUGCGUAGGUGGGUAGGUAAGUCAGUGGUGAAAUCUUCGAGCUUAACUCGGAAACUGCCAUUGAUACUAUCUGUCUUGAAUACUUUGGAGGUAAGCGGAAUAUGUCAUGUAGCGGUGAAAUGCUUAGAUAUGACAUAGAACACCAAUUGCGAAGGCAGCUUACUACACAGUCAUUGACACUGAGGCACGAAAGCGUGGGGAUCAAACAGG